CAGACGGGUGAGUAACACGUGGUCAACCUACCCUCGAGUGGGGGAUAACUAGCCGAAAGGUUAGCUAAUACCGCAUAAAACGUAGCGAGGCAUCUCGCAACGUUAAAAGGAGCAAUCCGCCCGUUGACGGGACCGCGUCCGAUUAGCUAGUUGGUGGGGUAAUGGCCCACCAAGGCUCCGAUCGGUAGCUGGUUUGAGAGAGCGACCAGCCACACUGGGACUGAGAAACGGCCCAG
rnacentral:rRNA from 1 species